UGGGAGAGGAUGAAACUCUAUUAUGAUGGUCUGUGACUCGAAGAGACAAACAAUUUGCAACUUUGGUACUAAUUUGUUGGAAUUUGAUUUUAGGGAGUUUUCUCCAUGCCACUUUGAGUACUGCUACACAAGUACCCAGUCCCUCAAUUGUUUUCGUCAAUACGUGAUAAGUACUGGGAUACAAUGCAUGAGAUAACUCUCGGGGUGGCUCGCGGAAUUGAGUAUCUCCACCAGGGAUGUGAGAUGCAAAUUCUACAUUUUGACAUUAAGCCCACACAUUCUUCUUCACAAAAACUUCAAGUCCAUAAUUUCAGACUUCAGGCUUGCAAGAUUCUACCUGAGAGACCAAAACACAGUAUUUGUUACAUGUGCAAGAGGCAGAAGGGGAUACGUAGCACCAGAAAUGCACUAGAAAAUCAUUGGAGGUGUCUCUUACAAAUUAAGCUGAUGUUUAUAAAUGGCGGGACGGAGAAACUGAGAAAGAACCUAAAUGCACACGUAGAAAUGUCUCUUACCACUGUCCACAAUAUAUGACAAGGAAGGAUCUACCAGAUGAGGCAGAUAAUGAGGAGGUGUCUACACUGUCACAUAUUCACAGAAAGCUACAGAAUCAGCCCCCAUGGUAGACGAG